CGGCCCGUCGUCCAAGGGACAGGGCACAGCCCUCCGAAGGCUGGAAUUCCGGUUCGACCCCGGACGGGCCGGCCA
rnacentral:tRNA from 1 species